rnacentral:lncRNA from 1 species
UGAAAAUCAAUAGGAUAUGUUUAAAGAAAUUGACAUUUUCCAAGUUAGAAAAACCUAUCUUGUUCUAACAUAUUUUGGAUAAUGUAUAAAUUCAUAUGUUGCUUAAUUUGUUUUAGUAUAAUGUAAUCUUCUAUAGAAAAAUAUAGAUAUUCUCACUUAUAAAGGAUAUGAAAUCCAUGCAUUAGGAUCCUUAUACUAUAAAUUUAACCUUACAAUAACGAGUUUAAAAAGAAAGAAAAUAGACAUUUUGUAUUACAUGUCAGAUACUCCUUCCUGUCCUAUUUUAUGUAACACCAUAUUGAUAUCAAUCUAUCAAAAAAAUAUGAGAUAUAUCUACAUUAUAAAAUAAUAAACAUAUAGAAUUUUUAUUUUAUCAUUAGUGAGAAGUAUUAUAGUAACACAAAUAUUAAAACAUAUUUAAAACAACAAGUUUUAGAAUUUUGUGUUCCAUUUAGAGUUAAAGUAAACAUGUCUUUGAAAGAUAAAAUAUAUGAGGUUCAAACAUCAACAUGUUUUGAUUAAGAAAAUGUUGUUUUUUAUUAUUAGAUUAAAUAGGAAAGAACGUCACUUGAAAUAGAAGAAAAAAAAUAUUCUUUUUUAUUUUCUAUGUUUUAGUUGAUAAUUGAAGUACAAAUAUAAGUAUAUAAAACCACAACAUAUAGAUAGAUUAGACAUGUAUAGACCUUUUUGAGAAGAUGAUAUUCGAAUAGACAAUAAUGAUUGUUUGAUCUGACCACAUCAAGAUAUUUGAUGAAAGAUUGUUUAAAUCUUCACCAUUUAGUCAUUAGGAUUUAUCAUUUCUUUUUUCUUCAUUUAACAUUAGUCUUUCUUGACCUUAUUAUUUGAUAAAAUUCAAAAUAAAUUUCCUACAUAAACACAACAUAAUUGAAGAUAUUAAUUAGUAUAUAACCUUUUAUUUCUGAAUUUAUAAUAAAAUAAUAUGAACAUAUAAUAUGCAUUCUGUUUUACUUAAAAAAAAUAAAAAUACUACUGUUUAUUGGUUUAAAUGAGAAAAAAUUGACUAGGUUUCGAAAAAUUAAUUAAUCUUAUUGUUUAAGAAAAACCGACCUUCAAAAUCGGAGUCGCCACUUGAUUUUUGAUAAAAUCAAGAAAAACUUCAAAAGAUUUAAAAACAGAUUAAAAAUCAAUUGAAAAGGGUUCGAAGUUCAAUGUACAUCUCGAGAAGGUGCUAGGCCCUCGGGAUGCCCGCUAACUUGCGGUUGACCGGCGAUUUGACUAAAUGACUUUUAAAAUAAAAUUUUUAACUAAGUAAAGAGAAAAUUCAUUUUGAUUUUUUUAUUUCAUUCUCUUUACUUUUUUUUUCUUAAGGAAAAUGUUUAGAGGGAAUUAAUUUAAGGAAAACUAAAUGGUAAUAAAAGUGAAUAAAAUAGUAAAAUUUAAAAUAAUGAAAAAUGGCUACUCUUUAGGAGAUUAUUAAAAUUCUACCAAAACACUAAUUAAUUAAAACAAAUAAUAAAUAAAGAGAGAAAAAUAUUUGAACUUGGGCUUGAUUGCCCAAAUCCAUCCAAUUGGACUUUGGCCCACCUGUCCUAAUCUAUUUACUUAGAUUUGGGCCCUUUAUUUAAAAAAAAACCUGCAAAAACAAAUGGUCAUUGGGCCUGUUAAUAAAAGGGGACUGAAGGGCCUUGGCCCAAUUUCCUAAAAAAGGAGACAUAAAGUAUACAAACGAUGUAUACUGUUGUAUAUGGUGUAUAUCACCAUCCAUUUUGGACCUUUUGAGCCCUGCACCUGUUUAAAUACAUAUUUUCAUUAUUUUUCCCUGUAUUGCCCUGCGUAUUUGUACCUGUAUAAUUUUUUUAAAACUUACUUAACAAGUGUAUAUCAUCACGCGAUAAUGUAUACUGAUGUAUACGGGCUGCAUUCUACGUCCGCAUUGUUUGCCUAAUUCCGAAUUUUAAUUAGAAUAGGCGUUCCUCUACGUUCCCCUACCAAUCAUAUUUUUUGAGCAUAUAUAUAGUAUAUCAUUCCUGUAUAUCUGUGUAUACAGGCUGUAUAUAAGCCUGUUUUUCAACUUUUGGAAGUUGAAAACUCCUUUCCAGAAACGUAAUCGCCCUGUCGUCAAUUCAGAUUUUGAGUUUGGGCCUCCUGUGGAUUUUUAACCUGUAUCACAGUGUAUAUAUUGUGUAUAAACCAGAUACACAGCUUCAAAACAAAAAUCGCAGCCAAAUGCCUGCAAUCCGCUACUUCCAGCAGCUCUCCAAUGGUUUUGCUUUCGACCUGUACAUCCUCUCAGGGGGUUGGCUGACUCGGAAAAAGUGUUUUGAGACUUUAUGGCUCAACGAGGAAUGCAAGAAUGGAAUCCAAAGUGGACUCGAAUCGAUGUCACACAAGAAAACAAAACAAAAAAAAAUAGUUAGCAAGGUGGAAUGACAACAUCUAAAAAAGAAGAAAGAAAAAAAAAGGAUUACCUUCUUCGGGGCAGCAAGCUAGAGACGAAACGAGCAAAGGGAUGACCUUCCACUACACAACUUCGAAUUCAAAUGAUAAUCAAAAACCCCGCAAUCCUUCUGUUUUUAAUUCAACUUCAAUAGAUAUAUAGGUGUGCUUAAACUAUUGUAAAAUCUUCCUAUGAAUAAACUCUUUCAAUAAUUCUUUUCUUUUCUAUCACAAGAUGUAAAAAAAAAAUUCUCUCCAAAAACCAUCCCUUUCUUUUUUUUCUUCUUCUUUUUCUUCUCUUUUUCUUUCUCCCUCUUUUCUUCUUUUCUCUCAACCAACCCCCUAACAAUAAAGAAGAUGGGGAUUAUUUAUAAGGCAAAUUAUGGCCAAAAGAGGGGGAAAUUUAUUUAAAAAUUGAAUUUUGAAUUUUUGAAUUUUGAAUUUUAAAAAGGGUAAGGUUGGAGGGAAAGGGAAAAAGGGAAUUGGGUUGGGAAUUAAUUAAAACGGAAUGGGCUAUGUAAUUGAUCCUGGGUGUCUGAAAAUAAAGUGGGCCUGGAAGGGAAUGAGGUGGGCUGGAAAUUUAUUAGGCUUGGGGUUUGGGAGAAGUGUUGGGUUGCUGAAGUGGGCCGGGAGAAGAAGAAAUACAAAUGGGCCUGGAAAUUAAAGGGAGUGUGUAAGUGGCCCAAGGCUAAGAUCUUUUGGUGGAUUUAAAGAAUGGGUUAAAUUUGAUAAAUAGCCAAAUUGAGUUAAGAUAAUAAAUUCGGCUAAACCUUAAAUAAAACGAAUUUGUAUUAAUUAAUCAACGAGCUUCUUUAAUUUAGUAAUAUAAUUAUUUAAAUUGUAAAAUAGUGGUUCAAAAUAUAACCAUAAUUUAAACUAUAUUAGCUAAAUAGAAUACUUACUAAAAUUAAAAAUAUUUUUUUGUUGGUUUUUUGAAUAAUCAUAAAAUAUACUAAUUAUAUACAUAAUUAUGUAAAAUAUAUGUAUUAUUCAAAAGUUAUAAGAAAUGACAAAACUAUUCAAAAUGACACAAACUUAAUUUUUUUUCUUAAAAAUUUAUAAAACUAAUUAUUUUAAAUUGCUUGGAAAAUUUAAGAAGCUCAUGAAUUAAUUUCUAUCGGAGAUGGUCAAAAUUGGGUGUCAACACAUUCGAAAAGAGUUUAUAAAUAAUCUUACAGAUUCUUUGAGAAAUAAAGAUUGUAACAUACGAAGAAUUGAUAGUUUGAGAUUCAUAGUAGCUAUAUUUGUUGAAUACCUUUAAUGAACUCCUCCAUUUUCUCUUUCUCUAAAUCCAAUUUUAUAUUAUAAAAUAAAGAAGAAUUUCAAAUUUUGAAAGUCACCAACCACAAGAAUUUUUUUUUCUCUUGGGCGAAUCAAGUAAUUUUACUUAUCGAACUUAAGUUUUUGUUUUAGAUUUUUUUGAGUGUACCAAAAAAAUAGAUUUACAACAUAUAUUUGGACAAUAGCCAAAAAUAAUGAAUAAUUAUUUGGGGCCAAUCAUAAAAGAUAACAAUAAAUUAGUGUUUUUAUAAGAAAAAAACAUGAAUUAGCUAGGAUAUUUGUUAUUAAAAAUAUAUAUAGUUACUAGUAUUGUUGUAACAAUUUUUCCCUAAAUAUUGUUACAAUGCAGUUUUGAUAUAUAGUGAUACUGGUUCUCUUUUUCUUGUAAUAGUAAAAUAGAAAAAAGAACAUUUAUUUGAAAAACUAAAAUAAAAAUUAGUGCAUAAUGUAUCAAUUAGUGAUACUCUAUUUGUUUUCCAACACCUAAUUAGUUUAGAAAAUAUAACAUAUCUUUGGAUAUAUUUUGUAUCUACAAAAUUCUUUUUUUAUAAAAAUCAUCAUAAAAAUUUAGAUAAAACAAAACAUUAGUGAAAAGUCACAAUUCUUUAAACAUCAUAAGUAAAGAAAAAUUAAAAAAGAAAAGAAGAGCGAUUUAUUAAAAAGAUGGAGUAUCCCUUAGUUUGACUUGCUAUGUCUAAUAAUCUCAAUGUUUUUUUAAGUUUAUAUAUGUCAUCAUCUUCUUCAUGAAUAAAAUUUGUUUGCUCUAGACACUUAAACAUCUUUUAAACUUUGAUGCUUAACCUGACAUUCUGCAUAUGAAAAUUUAAGAAUACAUCGACGUAAAUCAGAAAUUGAAUUUGAGAAUUUGGCAGCCAUCUAACCCAUGAAGUUGCACUUAACAUGACAACCCCAUAUCUUCUUCAACAUUCUCCGUUUUUAAAGAAAAUUUUUGAGUGAUUUUUAGAGGAACUAAAUUUAUUGGUGAAUUGUCGUCAAAUUUUUUCUUCUUAAAGUAGGCAUAUCUUGCAUUAAGGAAUAGUUGUUAGAUUGGUAAAAAUAGUAUUUUGAUUGAAUAGGAAUUUAAUAAAUCAUGCUUAGCUAAUGCAACUGUGGUAAAACGAAAUAAGUGUUUUUGUUAAUUGUCAUUUUCUUAUGAAAGUCAUGGUAUAUAAAUUGUAUUCACUUUUUUAAAAUAACAUUUGUUUUUACGAUAUUAGUGUUUUUUAAUGAAAUUUUUCAUUUUUCCCAAGUUAAAUUUGAAAAAUUUACUCAAAAAUAUUGUGAAUAAUUGACAACUAACAUAUUCCAAUAUUUCAGUGUAUAGUCUAAAUCAUUGACCAAUGAUUGACAUGAGAGUCAUUCUAUAUUUUAUCUAAUUCUCAAAAAUUCAAGUCUAAGGUUAAGUCAUGAUUUUUUAAAUCGCUACACCCUUAGUAGUUUUCAUAUAAUCUUAUCCACUCAAUAUUUAAGUACCUAUUCCAAUAUAUCAAACUUGGGUCUUAAUAUGAUAAUUAUAAGAAAAGUCUACGAAUAAGUCGAAUGUUUAAAAAUACGGCACCUAAUUUAUAAAUGAACAUAAUUGAAAAGACUAUGAAUUUUCAUCAUUAUUUUAUUCUAAGUGACCAUCCUACAAUAAUAUCUCACCCAAAAACUUUUUCUAGUUAUCAACUAUAAGUCAAACAUUUUUAUACUUACAUUUUUUCUUAUACACGAAGUCAACAAUAUGAAUAGCUACUAAUUUAUACGACUGCACAACCAAGAUCGUACAUGAGAAGUCAGAGCCGCCUCUGUUUGCUGCAUGGCAUAAGUUUUCUCCCCUCAAACCCUUAAUCUUUCUACAGAAUAUUGACUCCCAAACUAUUAUAUAAGACUAAUUAUAAACUGGUAAAAGUAAAUCAUUAUUAAUUUUAAAGUUCUCUUCUUUAACAAUCAACUAACUCAAUAAUAAAAACUAUCCCACUAUUUUCAUACUUAUAAUUACGAAUAUUCCAAAUAUCCCUAAAUCUAUCAGAAAAUAUUUUCUGAAACUAAAAGCUUUAACUUUUGAAACAACCAAAAAAAAGUUGUUACAAUAGAUUCCAAUUUACCCAUCGUUUGUCCUCCAACGAUCACAGGAAGACAAGGGAAGAAGCGUAUCUUAAGAGACAAAAAGGUGCGGAUAUCAUUCAUGCAUAUCCGUCUCACCCUCAAAGUGGACUCUUCAACUGACCGAUUCUUCCACUGAACCUUGAUAGAUGCAAUCUCUUUUGACCCCAAUUUGCGGAUCUCCCUAUCUAGAAGAGCAACAGGCUCCUCUUCAUAAGAUAGAUUCUCAUCAAGCAGAACUGAAUCCCAAUUAAUAAUGUAGUUUCCAUCACCAUGGUAUUUUUUUCAGCAUACACCUAUGAAAUACUCGGUUCACUCCUGACAACCAUAGAGGUUAGGAAAUAUUAAGAUACCUCCCCGACGUGCUUCAAAACUUCAAAUGGAGAGAUAUAUCUCGGACUAAGCCUACCACUCUUGCAAAACCGCCUUACACUCUUCAAGGGUGGAUACCUUUAGUUAGAAUUGUGCACUAUCCACAAACUCCAAGUCUCUAACCUUCCGAUCUGCAUACUCCUUCUGUCUACUCUGAGCUGCUAAGAGCUUCUCAGGAAUGCAUUUCACUUUCUCUAAUGGUUGUCUAAAAAGAUCGGUACCCCUUGGUCUCAGCUCAAAUACAUCAAACCAACCAAUAGGAGACCUACAUAUCUUCUCAUGCAAUGCUUCAAAUGGGGACAUAUCAAUACUCGGGUGAUAAAUAUUGUUGUAAGAAAACUAUACAAAGGGUCAUAAUUGAUCCCAAUGUCCACGAAAAUCUAUCACGCACGCACGAUGCAUAUCUCUAGUACUUGAAUUGUUCGGUCAAACUGACCAUCACUCUGAGGGUGAAAUGCAGUACUAAGCCAGUCUAGUACCUCAUUCAGCAUGUAAGGUCCUCCAAAACUUAGAAGUAAAUUGCGUUCCUCUAUCUGAUAUGAUGUAAAGUUGAACUCUAUGCAAAUGAACAAUAUCAGACAUAUAGAGUUUUGCUAAUUUUUCUGCAUUGUAUGUUAUCCUGACCGGAAAAAAGUUGCAGUCUUAGUUAACCUGUAAAUAAUUAUCCAAAUAGAAUCAAAGUUACCCAUUGUCUUAAGAAGACCAACCACAAAAUCGAUUGAAAUUCUUUUCCACAUCUAUUUAGGAAUGGGUAUUCUCUAAAGUGUCCCUCCAAGCCUUUGAUGUUCAUAGUUUACCUGCUGAAAAUUCGAACAUUGUGCAACAAAAUUAGCAAUGUCACACUUCAUUCUAGUCCAUUAGUAAUGUUUUUUAAGAUCACGAUGCGUCUUGUUUGCACCAGGAUGUAUAGAAUACCUUGAACUUUGUGCCUCUGCAGGAAUAGUAUGAACAUGAUCAUCCAAAUGGGGCACACAUACUCUCCCCUUAAUUGUCAAGUCAUCUUCCUAAUUAUUCACAUCCUCUUUAGCCUCUCCAGAUAAUACCAUAUCUCGAAUUAGGCUUAGUUUUUUCAUCAACAAAAUGUUUUCCAUUAAUCUUGUCAUGAAAAGAAGAUAUUGCCUCCACACAUGCCAAAAAUCCUCCUUUAUCAUGAAUUUCUAGCCUCAUAGAGUCAUUAGCCAGAAUCUGAACCUCUCUAGCAAAUGUGCAUCUAGAAACCUGUAAGUGGCUAAACUACUCAUGCUCCCUGCUUUUCUACUUAAGGCAUCUGCCACAAUAAUAGAUUUUCUAGGGUGAUAUGAAAUAGUAAUAUCAUAGUCUUUGAAUAACUCUACCCACCUCCUCAUCCUCAAAUUCAAAUAUUUUUGAGUAAAAACAUAUUGUAAAGUACGAUGUUCUGUAUAAAAUUCACACUUGACCACAUUUUGAAAAUGCCUCCGUUGCUUCAAUGCAAAUACAACUGCAACCAACUCCAAAUCAUGGGUCGGAUAGUUAUCUUCAUGCACUUUCAUUUGCCUCAAAGUAUAAGCAAUUACAUUCCUGUUCUGCAUUAGCACCGAGCCCAAGUUAAAAUAAGAUGCAUCACAAUAAACAUUAAUAUUCUUACCAUCCAUUGGCACGACAAGAAUCAGUGUAGUAAUCAACAAGGUCUUGAGUUUCAGAAUGACGACCUUUACCAUGACCACCUCUACCUCUAACUACUGAGGAUUUUUAACUCUGCCUUGGACAAUAUUUGCUAAUACGUCUAGGCUCUCCACAUUCAUAACAAGUCCUAGAGUAAAAUGUAGGUCUCUGUGAAGAGGAAGAAGUGUGAAGAUAACCUCAAAACUCAGAAAAAUGUUGAUAGGUCUUCAACAGACCCUCAACUAAAGCCUGCAAUAAUGACUGUACAGGACGGGAUGGAUAACCCCCAACUCUGCCUUUGGAGUAAUAACUACUAAACUCACUUCCCUUACGAAACUUCUUUAAUGUCGAUGCCUUGGUGAAGUCAUAUGGCUUUACCCCUUUUACCUGUAUAAUAAAAUCAACCACUUCUUGAAAAGAUUUUGUUUUACCAGCUAUCUGUAAGGCUAGAAUCUGAAAAUCUGACCUCAAUCCUUUCACAAAGCAACGAAUACGCUCUUGUGACUGAAGAAAAUCUCAGUGGCUUACAUGGAUAGUGCACGAAAUUUGGCCUCAUAAUCAACAAAAUUCAUCUUUUCUUUCUCUAGGCUGAGGAACUCAUCUCCUCUCCUAUUCCUCAAUGUUCGGGGUAUAUACUUCUCCAUAAAUAAGCUAGAAAAUGAUGCCCAAGUCAUAGGUGCUGCCUUCACUCGUCGACACUCAACAUAAGACCGGUACCAUAUUUUGUCAUCCCCCUGAAACUUGUAGGUCACAAACUCAACACUGAAUCAUACACCUAUGUCGAUCUUAUGUAUCACCUCAGGAAAAUAAACCAAGAAAUCAUAGGCAUCUUCAGAUCACCACCCUUGAAGACGGGAGGUUUUAACUUUAUGAACUUAACGAAAAGUUCAUGAUGGUCACCUGUUAUUAUAGACAUGUAGUCAAUCGAGGAAACAUUCUUAUUUCCAAGGAUGCAUCUAUGCGGGAGUCAUAACAGUUGUAUGUUGUACUUUAUGAACCUGAGGUGUUGGUAUAGAAAACAGUGGGUGUCUAGCCCUCAUUAGAUAAGCCGCUAAGAUAGGUGAGAACCUUAUUAAUCAUCUCCAGAGUAGGCUUGGGUGGUUCUUCCUUCUCUUGAAUCUUCUCAUCUUCCCCUUCUUCACCCUCUCUCACUACCUAAUAAGUUGGUGGAUGAGUCACCGCUCUAUCCCUAAUUAGAGCGGUGUUUAUCCUCAGCCUCUAGUUGGCCUCCUCCCGCAACCUCAACCACGACCUCUUGCCACUGCUCCUCCUCGAGUUAACGCCCCAGUGUUUGGCUUAGACGCACCAUGGCUUACCGGUGUUAGUGUUGUCACAGUUGUUGCUCUAGCUCUAACUAUCUGCGUCAUAGAUUGAGAAGGACAUAUUCGAUUUGUAUCACCUAGAUACCAAUUGAAUCCAAGUUAUAGCACGAAAAAAGAUGUGUUUUUCGAAAGUUAUAUAGCCUCGAAAAAAAGUAAUGGCAUCCCUGUACUGUUUCGCAUGACUCUACUAUACAUGUACUUGUGUUUUGGGAUCAUCUCACCUAAUGAUCUAACACAAAGUUUGUCAUGACCCAAAACAAGUCCUGAGUGACACCCAUACUUAGCCUCCUAGGUGGGCCAACAUCUACCAACAAUUCAACUAUGAAAAACAAAAAUUAUACGGAAGCUCCAAAACAUAUUAAUGUAUUAUUUUCAAAAAUCAUAAACUCAUAUAAUUAAGGACAUCUAAUCUCCAAAUAUUAAGUCUAAAAAUAUUGAAAAUACCGAAAUAAGUAAAUCAAUGAUCCAUGUACGAAAUUUAAGGACAUCAUGAUAUAAAUGAGAGAAUCUAGCACGAGCUAGAAAUAAUAGCUCACCUUGAACUAUGAUCUAUUGGAGACUUGCUAGAGCUGUGGGCGAAUCGAAGUCGACGGUAUACUUGUUGCACUCCACAAAAGAACAACAAAGAAAAUAGAAGUAGGGGUAUCAUCGUCCAACCCAAAAUAGAAACCAAUAUAUAUUGAAUAAUUAUGUAAGAUCAACUACAAUACUUGGAAGGUGGAAAGCAACAAACAACACCAACUAGUGAAAACAACAACAUAAUAGGUACAAAAUUAAUCAUAAUAUCAAUCACACCUAUGAAGACAAACAACAUCAUAGUAGGUACAAAAUUAAUCACAAUAUCAAUCACACCCACGAAGACUCAUGCCUCCACACCAUAUUCAUUUGGAAAAUGGGUUCUUAGAGAUUGAAUAUAUUACGUUAAUUCUAUAUUUACUUUUAUUUAAUUUUAUCGUGUCGGAACGUGACACUCAGAUACCAUAUACCGUGUCGGAACGUGACACUCCGAUCCCAUAAUACCGUGUUAUAAUAUGACACUCCGAUCAAAUAAUAUCGUAUCAGAACAUGACACUCCAAUCCAAUUAUCUCAUUUAUUUAUUUCAUCAAGCCUCCUUUAUUUUUUUUCAAGGCUUUAUUUUACUAGAGUGUGUUCAAGAUUAUAAAUUCAACAUGCUCAGAAUUUUAGGUCAACCACAAAUCAUACAACCAAGAUAUAGAAUCACACAAUCAAGUUCAUACCUCAACAUAAAAAUUGAAGCCUGGCAAACUACUUAUCUAAUGUUUUUCCUUCCUCAAUGCCUCCUAAACAUUCCAAUCUGUCAAGUAUAUAUGCAUAAUUUGUAAGCUAGCAAAUCUAUAAAACUCAAUAUAUUGUAUAUUUAGCCUAAACAAAGAAAAACUCACAUUAUUCUAUAAUCAAUUUUCUAAAGAUCAAACUGAAGGAUAAGUCUAGAUUCCUCCAAUUAGCAUAACAUAAAUAGAAUUUAAAUAAUUUGAUUCAUCUAAUACUUAAUUACCUAUUUCAGAACAUAAAAGCUUAAACUAUAAUGUGAUAACUAAAUAAUUUACCUAAGGACGAACAUUUGUGAAAUACUCUGAAUAAUUGAAAACUAACAUAUUCCAAUGUUUCACUGUAUAGUCUAAAUCAUUGUCCAAUGAUAGGGUAAUCAUUGUCCAAUGAUUGACACGAGAGUCAUUCUAUUUUUCAACUAAUUCUCUAAAUUCAUGUCUAAGGUUAAGACAUAGUGUUUCCAAACACUACAUUCUUAAUAGCUUCCAUAUAAUAUAAUCCACUUAAUAUUUAAUUACCUAUCCCAAUAUAUAAACCUUGGGUCUUAAUAUGAUAAUUAUAAGAAAAGUCUACAAAUAAGUAGAUUGUUUAAAACAGUAAGAAUAAUUUAUAAGUGAACAGAAUUGAAAAAAAUAAUCUAAGACUCAUUCUAUAUGUCCAUAUAAAAAUGUUCAAUGAAUUUUUAUCAUUAUUUUAUCAUAAAUGACCAUCAUAAUAUAAUGUCUCACCGAAAAGCUUUUUCUAAUUAUAAAAUAUAAGUCAAACCAAUUGUUAUACUUGCAUUUUUGUCUUGUACCAAUACAAGAAGUCAACAAUAUGAAUGUCUACUAAUAUAUAAUACUACACAAAAAAUAGAUUUAAAACAUAAAUUUGGACAAUAGCCGGAAUUAAUGAAUAAUUAUUUGGGCCAAUUAUAAAAGCUAACAAAAAAAGUGAUUUUAUAAGAAAAAACAUGAAUUAGCUAGGAUAUUUGUUUUUAAAUACAUUUAUCGUUAAUAGGGAUACUGGUCCUUUUUUUCUGGUAAUAGUAAAAUGGAAUAAAAACAUUUAUUUGAAAAACUAAAAUAAAAAUUAAGGUGUAUUGUACCAAUUAGUGAUACUUUAUUUGUGUUUCAACACCUAAUUACUUUAGAAAAUAUAAAAUAUCUUUGGAUAUAUUUUGUAUCUACAAAUUCUCUUUUUAUAAUAAUCAUCAUAUAAAUUUAGAUUAAAAAAAACAUUAGUGAAAACUCACAAUUCUUUAAACAUCAUAAGUAAAGAAAAAUUAAAAAGGAAAAAAAGUGGGAUUUAUGAAAGAGAUGGAGUAUCCCUCAAUUUGACUUUCUAUGUCUAAUAAUCUCUUUGUCUUUGUAAGUUUAUAUGUCAUCAUCUUCUUCAUUAAUAAGCUUGUUUGAUGUAGACACUUAUAACACCUUUUAAUCUUUGAUACUUAACAUGACAUUCUACAUAUGAAAAUUGAAGAAUAUAUCGACGUAAAUCAGAUAUUGAAUUUGAUAAUUUGGCAGCCAUCUAACCCAUGACGUCGCACUACAAAUGACAACACCAUAUCUUCUUCAACUUUCUCCAUUAUUAAAGAAAAAUUUUCAGUGGUUUCUAGAGGAACUAAGUUAAUUGGUGAAUUGUCAUCAAUUCUUUUCUUCUUAAGUAGGAAUAUCUUGCAUUAAUGAAUAAUUGUUAUAUUGGUAAAAAUCUUAUUUUUAUUUAAUAUGUAUUGAAUGAAUUGAUACACUCAUACUUACUUCUCAAAUAAGAAGUAAAGAGGUCGUGUCAAGUAAAUAACCCUACUAGUGAGAUUGGGAUCGUUCCCACUAGGAAAAUAGUUUAGACUUAACUUUAACCUAUUAUUACUAUUGAUCGGUCAAUUACUUCCUUGGAAAGCAAAAAUAAUAAAAGGGGAGUUUCUAUUUCUAAAUUAAUGAAAAUAACUAAUGAAAUUGAAAGAGACACUUAACAGCUUUGAAUGUUAGAGUUUAAUCAAUUAAUAAAAGUAACUAGGGUUUACGUGUUCCCCACGGGUUCAUAACUUGAUAAUUCUAACUAUAACAAUUCCUUCCUAGUAUAUUGCAUGUAAAGUGAUAAGUUAUGUAUUUCUAAAUCGUUGGUCCAGCAUCUAGAAAAUCUCCCUCCGCACCUUGGUCCGGCUACAUGUGUUGCUAUCCUAACCAUUAUAUUAAGCAUCAUAUUCGAUAUUUGACUACGUUAUUACCUCGUAUCAAUCAAUACUAGCCUAUUAAAUAGUAUACACUAAAUCUAUGUUGAUAAUUCUUUUCCUAUUAUCCACCUCCUUCGUUCAGCAAGUAGAACUAAGUCGAGUUCUAAUGUUGGCCAUCCGUUAAAAAGACUUUUAAGCGAAUGAAUUAUUAAUACAUGCAAGACACUAUUCUAGAAUUGUUAUUUUAGUUAGGUUUUAUCUCAUUAUUUGCCUAUGGUUCCCAAAACCCUAGUUAUGAAGUUUAGUUACCCAUAGUCAUAAUCACAAUAUUCAAAUAUAUUAUAUAAGAAUUCAUGUACUUACUUCAAUGAAAAAGAGUAAAAUCCGAAAGUUUGCUUGAUUAAUCACCAAAAACCACCAAUAAUCACUUGCAAGAAUCUCAAAGUAAUCAAUAAUCUCACAAAAAGUCUAAUCAUAAUCAAAAGGUGUCUAACAAUACGGAGUCUAAUAAUGAUCAAGAGUGUAACCUCAAAAAUGAGGUUUUUCUAACUAUUUAUGGAAAAUAAUAACGUAAUUAAACAAUUACUCUAAUUGUUGGAAAUCUGUCCAAACGCGGCUGGGUCGACGGAUCUCUCGACGGAUCGUCGUGGUCACGACGGACCGUCAUGAACUCCGUCGUCUAAUACUUGUGCACUUUCUUCUACUUCUCUCUUCAUACCCUCGAAGUCAAGUAUGACGGACCUUCAUAAACAUGACGGUCCGUCGAGGGUCUUCGUUCUAAAAUACCUCAACUCUUGGAAUAUGAGUACUGAGAUUACUUCUCUUAACUUAAUGACGAACCUACAGGACGGACCGUCAUAGACACGACAGGCCGUCAUGGACUCCGUAACCCCACACUUGGUCAGACUUCCCCAUCUUUCUUCAGCAGCGCACUACGCUGCCACCUACGGACCGUCACAAGCACGAUGGACCGUCACAAGCUCCGUAGGUGGUCUGUUCUACAUUUCUUCGUUCAAAAUCUCUGCAUUCAUCUUUGGACAGAUUUCCUUCAAAUAAAGAGAAACUUAUAUAAAAAUUAGCACAAAAAGGUUUUUGGACGCACUAGACUUUAAGGAAAAAGUAUUAAUAAUACUGUGAAACCACGGUAUAUCAACACCCUCAACUUAAAUUCGUUGUUUGACCUCAAGCGACACACUAUGACUCAAUACACCAUUUUGUUCAAUAGUAUCCAUGUUUUAUCUUUUUAAUCAUUUGGCUAUCAAUCCCGAUUAAUCUCAUCAUAUCUAUGCAUGCUAUCACUAUUAGGCUAGAAUUAUGUGGGAUCAGAACAUGACACAGACUCACCAUGCACUAACACCUAUCCUCUUCAAUUUUUCACCGAGGUGCUAACAAUUCCGGUAUUGCAACUAGUGUCCUCACUCUAAAAUAAAAUACUCAUUUUUCAGACAAUGAUUUCAGUUUGAGUAUAAGGAUUACUUUUCAACACUCGCUCUAAGAACAGAGUCACACUCAUUCUUACCUAUUGCCAUAAGCUUGACCUUAUUUUCACUGCCUGAAGUUCGCUAUACAACCCUUAGGAUCACGAUAAAACUUUCUUAGGUUGUAACAUAGGCUCAGGGUCACGUAGGUAUAUUUAGGUAUACUUUAGUGACUUUUUUCCCUCCUUGACAUAUCGGUGAAACAUACCAUUUUUUAUCAUUUCAUCUCGCCCAGUUUUUCAUAUUCUUUCACCCUUCUAUUUUCUCUUCUUUCUUCAUUUGUGUAAGCGACUCUCUUCUUUUCUUGCUUGUAUUUCUUGUAUAUUUUCUUUUUCUUUACUUUUCUUUCAACUAAUUCUUGAGUCACUUUACUUUUUUUCUUUCUCUAUCUUUGUUCUUUCAACGCCACUUUCCAAAGCAUUCCUCAUAAUAGCCACCCUCAACUCAUGGCUUUGCCAUGAGUCAAGGUACACAAUACCCAAAGUUGGGUCAGGUUCAUAAAAAAGGUUAUUUACUGCACUAGCCACCCUCAACUUAUACUUUUGGCAUAAGAUGAGGUGCACAUGUCCAAGGAAGGACAAGAGCCAACACAUUAUUCCCACAAAAGAUCAGUUGGACUGAAAAAGAAAGGUCUAAUUUAAGCUCAGAUCAUUUGGAUCAAAGAAGGAUAAAUUUCAUUUGGUUUUCAUUUUAUUUACGCUAAAAAUGGGCUACAUUAAAUAAGGGCCUAUGAUCCUUUCCUAAUUGUCUAUUAUAGCUUACUUUUAACAGGACUAACCAGGCAAGUUCUAGAUCAGUACAAAUAGUGGACUAUUCAAAUCUUCCUAACAUCAAUUGAUAUUCAAAUCCCCGGCAACGGCACCAAAAUUUGAUACGCUCAAACUUACUUCUCAAAUAUGAAGUAAAGCGGUCGUGUCAAGUUAAUAACCCAACUAGUGAAGUUGGGAUAAUUCCCAUGAGGAAAAUAGUUUAGACUUAACUUUAACCUAUUAUUACUAUUGAUCGGUCAAUUACUUCUUUAGAAAGCAAAAAUAAUAAAAGGGGGAGUUUUCUAUUUCUAAAUGAAUGAAAAUAACUAAUGAAAUUGAAAGAGACACUUAACAUCUUUGAAUGUUGGAGUUAAUCAAUUAAUCAAAGUAACUAGGGUUUACGUGUUCCCUACAGGUUCAUAACUUGCUAAUUCUAACUAUAAAAAUUCUUUCCUAGUAUCUUUCAUGCAAAAUGAUAAGUUAUGUAUUUCUAAAUCCUUGGUCCGGUAUCUAGAAAAUCUCACUCCAGGUGUGUUGUUAUCCUAACCGUUAUCUUUACCUCAUAUUGAGCAUCGUAUUCGAUAUUUGACUAAGUUAUUACCUCGUACCAAUAAAUACUAGCCUAUUAGAUUGUAUAAACUAAUUCUAUGUUGAUAAUUCUUUUUCUAAUAUCCACCUCCUUGGUCCAGCAAGUAGCAUUAAGGCGAGUUCUAACGUUGGUCAUCCGUUACAAAGACUUCUAAGCGAAAGAAUUAUUAAUACAUGCAAGACACUAUUCUAGAAUUGUUUUUUAGUUAGGUUUUAUCUCAUUAUUUGCCUAUGGUUCCCACAACCCUAGUUAUGGAGUUUAGUUACCCAUAGUCAUAAUCACAAUAUUCAAAUAUAUUAUAUAAGAAUUCAUGUACUUACUUCAAUGAGAAAGAGUAAAAUCCGAAAGUUUGCUUUAUUACCAAAAAAACCAAUAAUCACUUGCAAGAAUUUCAAAGUAAUCAAUUAUCUCACAAAAAAUCUAAUGAUAAUGAAAAAGUGUCUAACAAUACGGAGUCUAAUAAUGAACUAGAGUCUAACCUCAAAAACUAGGUUUUUCAAACUAUUUAUAGAAAAUAAAAACCUAAUUAAAACAAGGACUCUAUUUGCUAGAAAUCUGUCAAAACGCGGCUGGGUCGACAGACCUUGCGACGGAUUGUCAUGGUCACGACGGACCGUCAUGGAAUCUGUCUUCACAUACUUGUGAAAUUUCUUCUGCUGCUCUCUUCAUACCCUCGACGGAAAGUAUGACGGACCGUCAUAACGGUUCGCCGAGGGUCUUCGUUACAAAAUACUUCAACUCUUGGAAUAUGAGUACUAGGAUUACUUCUCUGAACUUUAUGAUGAACCUACAGGACGGACCGUUAUAGACACGAUGGGCCGUCAUGGACUCUUUAACCCCACACUUAUUCAGACUUCCCCAUCUUCCUUCAGCAUCUGCACUACGCUGCCACCUACGGACCGUCACAAGCACGACGGACCAUCACAAGCUCCGUAGGUGGUCUCUUCUGCAUUUCUUCGCUCAACAUCUCUGCAUUCAUCUUUUGACAGAUUUCCUACAAAUAAGAGAAACUUAUAUAAAAAAUUAGCACAAAAAGGAUUUUGGACACACUAGACUUUAAGGAAAAAAUAUUAAUAAUACCGUGAAAUCACAGUAUAUCAUCAAUCAAGAUCAACUAAUUCAAGUGUGGUAAAAAUAAAUAAAUGUUUUUAUUCAUUGUCAUUUUCUUAUAAAAGUCAUGGUAUAUAAAUUGUAUUCACUUUCUUAAAAUAACAUUGUUUUUACGAUAUUAGUGUUUUGUUAUGCAAUUUUUCAUUUUUCCCAAGUUAAAUUUGGAAAAUUUCUCAAUUUUAAAAAAAGAACUUUCGAUUUAUUUAUUUUAUAUAUAAAACAGAAAUGAAGCAACAAAUUCAGUAAACAUUAUUGAUGUUGGCCUCCUGCUAUAAGUUUUGAGAAAACACUAUUGAUGAACAUUUCUAAGGAAACAUGUUACUUGCACAACCAAUUCCUAAUAUUAAUACAAACCCUUGUCUUAUACUAUCUAUGUAGAAUCAAGGAACUGACGUAAUUCUAGGGACCUAAUUGAUGAAAGGAACCCAGUAAUGAAAUCCCAAAUUCUUCGUGAAAAAAUCUAAUGAGAAGUCCUUUGAAUUAUGGGGCUAAAACAUAAAGUAUACUAUUUCUUGUUCUUGAAAGAAACUGAUGCCUCGUUCUCUUUCUAUUAGUAAAACGACUUAUCUUAGACAUCAAAGGAUGUAGCUUAAUUGCCUUAUUGAAUAAGGACACGACAAAAAAAAACCUUGACAUAAAAGCUGAUGAAGUCCAUUAACUACAAUAAUCAUGCGCCAUUGUUUGAACUCUCGGCUGUCACACGAGGUCAUGGUUUUAUAUCACACGGUUUAUGUCUCGGUUAAUAGUAUCCCUAAUGUAUGACUGUUAGUAUAUUGGACUAGGUUUUCAGCAGUUAUAUCAGUGUAUUGUUCAUCAUGUUCUCUUCAUGAUUAGUACUUUGUAACUUCAUUCAGUUGAACUAUUUUAUAUGUUUCGGUAUUUAUAUUCUUGCUCAGAUUAUGUAAUUGCUCAAUUACAAUUUGUUCUGCUCAUAUAUAUUUUCAUGUUAGUAUCUAUAUCCUGCAUGUUCAAUGCAUUUAAAGUACUUUCUCAUACUCUUUUAUACAUCCUUUUAUGAUAUAUGUUUAGAUACUUAGCAUCCAUAUCACGCUUAAAAUCAAUUCUCCAUUCACAUUCAACAACUUCAAAGGUGAGUCAUCAAAUUUCAAGGACAAUAGACAUGCUUUCAUUUUUGUCAUUAUUUUUAGUUUCAGUUUUAUCAGAGUUAGUUGGGCGCAUGUCCCAUCACCUCAGCUCAUUUAGAGCUUUUCAAACAUAGUAGUAGAUUCAGUUUGAGUUGUUAAGUGGUUGUUGCAGUUAUCACAAACCCUAGUUUAUUUCACUUAUUUUUAGUGCUUUUAGGUUUUUCCUAAUUUCCAGGUAUCCUUCAUUGUAGUUUCUGCACAGUACAGGUUUUACUUAAUUAUUUUAGUAUUUUCAUGAUAUGCCAGAUUAGGCGUUAGCUUUGGGACACUCAUGAUCGUAGGUCCCAUGUUAUGUCUAGGGGUAGCCUCGAGGUUUGAAAAUUGGUGUCCACUUUUGGGAAUUGUAUUUUUUCACUGUACAUAGGUCCUGACAACAAGGUUUUAGAAUGGUUUCUAUUGUAUGUUGUUUUUUAUGUUUUACCUCGCUUCUGUCUAUUUCUUUUAUUACUACUAUUAACUUUAGUUCUACCCGUGUACUAACUACAUUAGCUUCUCGGUACGGGUUGUAUUACACAGUAGUUAUUAUAGUAGAUGCCAUCAGACUCAAAAAGUAAGGUCAUGGAAGGACAUUUGUUGAGCAAGUAGACAACAUGUUGACCAAAAGGGAGAUAUGUGAUGUCUCGAAGUGUUACUUUUUUAGAAACUAUGGUUAAGGAAUUAUUGAAAGGAUAACGUAAAUUUUCUAUAUCAAUUAUAAUAUGAGCCAAUUUUUAUAAAAUAAAAAAUUUUGGUCAAUUUUUAUAGCAUUGGUGAUUCAAUUGUUUUUCGCAAUAAUCUGUUCAAGAAUUCAAAUGGUAAAAAAUUCAUCUUGUGUUCUGUCAAAUUAAUAGAGUAACAUAACAUAACAUAUUAAAGAUAAUUUAAAAGUCAAAAUAUUGGUUAUAUAUAAAAUCUUUUUCAAGAAUAUAUGGUGCAAACUAUAUGUAUAGAAAUUAGUGUAUUAUGAACUCAUGAAUUUCAAAAUAUUAAAUGUUUAUUGGAAAAUAUAUUUUUAAAGUUUUAAUUGAUUUUAUAACCUCAAAAGCUAAAUUAUUUUUUAAAAGAGAUAAAACAUAUUGUAUAAGAAAUUAUAUUAAGCUUUACUUAAUAAUUUGAAUCCUACAAAAACUUUUCCUACUAAAUUAAAUUCUUGAUCUAUCAGUUAUGAAUUGGAUACUAAUUUAAUUUAUUCAUAUGGUGAGAUUUCUAUAAGAAACUUCUAUCCGAAAAUUGUCAUGACGUUGAUAUAAAUAUAGAAAAAGCAUGCAUAUGACUUUGAACUUAUUCAAUGUUAUAGAUACUAUUCGGUUUAAUAAAUUUUAGAAACAUAUUUUUGUAGUUUUUCCCUUGUACUCAUAUUGUUCACCAUUAUUAGUUUGAAAUGGAAAUAAAAAUUAAUUGUAGGCGUUAGAGAUCUUUAUCGUUUUAACACAAAAAGUGAUUUUUAUCAUGGUCGUUUAUAUGUUGUAAAGUUAAAGUGAAUUUUAAAUAGAAUCAACUCUUUUGUACGUUGGUAUAAUCAGAAGCGUAAGAAAAAAGGAACAGUGAAGUGGUUUAGUGACCAAAAAGGGUUUAGUUUGAUCUGCAUUAUUGUGUUGAUGAGCUUUUUGUUCAUCAAUCUAUGAUAGGAUCUAGACUUUUGUAGUUUAACUGACGAUGAAGAGGCUGAACCGAUGUAGAAUCUGGGAAUGAUGGCCAUACAAAGGCUGUGAAUGUUGCCGGCUCAAAUGGUGCUCUUUUCAAAAGAGGAUCCCGUGAUCUCAGAGGUGGUGAAAGUGAUUCAUAUAGUGGUUGUGGUUAAUAUAUAUUUUUGGAUGGGAAAUAUUUUGCUGGAGAAGGUUGUUGGAGUGGCAUCAUGUGGUAUGGAGGUGAUGGGUUAUAUGGCGGAGGUGUUUGGAGGUAUGGUGAAGAUGGUGAUGGGUAUAGUGGUGGUAGAGGAGGAAGUGGGUGUUACAAGUGUGGAGAAGAUUGUCAUUUUACAAGGGAGUGUAGCCACAAUUGUUAAUAUGGUAGGGGUCUGGUGGUGGGAGAUAUGGUUGCACGACAAUGGAGACAGAGGUGGUGGGAGAUAUGGGUGCACGACAAUGGAGACAGAGGUGGUGGGAAUGAUAUUUACAUAAAGGAUGUCAAUGUUACCAACCCUUGUUCCCCUUACUUGUAACAACCACCACCACCACCACCUAGACCUCCUUCGUCGUUCAACCAUAUUAAUCACCACCAGUGCUUCCCCAUCCAUAACCUUGACUAUAUUUCCUUGAAAAUAACCAAUAUACUCGCACCUGUAAUACCCACUUCCUCCUCUACCAUAUCCACCUCCAUCAUGCCUCCCACCACUAUCGCCAUAUUAACCUUCACCUCCAUAAUGCUUGCUACUGCCCUAACCAGCUUUAUUACCACCAUAUAUCCUACCUCAGGAUCAAUAUCCACAACUACCACCAUAUAAAUCACCCCCACCACCUCCACAAUACCGUGGUUUUCCUUUGAAAUAAGCAACAUCUAGACCGAUAACAAUAAAAGCCAUAGUACGACCAUCAUACACAGAUUAAACAUUGAGUUCAACAACUUCAACAUCAUCUAAACUAUAAAAAACUUCACAUCUUUACUAGAUAGAUUAUAAGAGAGGUCAUUGCCAUCAUUAUCAGAAGUAAAAAACUGAAUCAAUUUAUCUCACUAAACCAAUUUACUGUUCUGUUGUUCUGACGUCGCUGAAUAAACUAACACUUCAAGGUAGAGAAUACAAUUAUUGUACCUUGGAUUAUUGAGGAAAGAGAUAAAGAGGUUGAAAAACCCUUUGGUUAAGCACGCAAUAUCUUCUAUGCAUAAAAAGGGUACAAAAGUGGCACUGCCUUAUAAUUUAAAUGUUGGUGUUGCACAUAUCCAAAAUAGGAAAAGAUUGUAUUAAUGUUCCCACACUCUUAUUUAAGUAAAAAAAAAUUCAGUUAUCUAUUUCUUUUCUUCCGAAUGUUAAAUUAAUGAACGAUACCUAAGAGAUAUAAUUCUCAUAUGGUGUACUAUCGUAGUGAUAUUAUGGAAAAAUCUAAAAUAUGAAUUUAAAAUAAUCAAUCCUACUUCUCCUCCUAUUUCUACAGCUCUGAUGCUUUAUAGGAGGUUUUGCAAUUUUUUGUGAACAUUAGUCGUAUAGGAUUGAGCCCUCUUGUGAACUUGAUUCAUAAUGGCUUGGAGACCACUUGAGAUUCUGUUUAUUUUGGAACUACACUAGGAAGUACUCGUCAUGCAACAGAAAGACCAUAAAAAGGGAAAAGAAACUUCAACUUAUUUAUUUUGUUGCAAUAUGGGCUGAAUAUCAUCUAUCAAAGACUUUAUGUGUUUCAUCCCACUUGAAGUACAUUCAACAACCUUUUUUUUAGAACAAUUCUAACUGAAAGAAGAGUAGGAGAUAGAAAAUUAAAAAAAAAAGAUUUUUCACCCCAUGUGGUAGCCCAAAAAAGUAGAUUUCACUAAAAUAAUAUAUAUUUAAGAAACUGAUUAGCUUCCUUUGAUCAACAACGAAUUGUUUCACAUGGGUAAGCAACAAAGAAUUAGAACAGUGAUGAAUAAAGGUACUGAAAAUAUAGGAGUUAUGUUACUUUAGUUGACUGACACAUCUCCUAUGAGAAGAAGAGAGAUGAGAACGUUGUAAUAAAGAGCUUGUACAACCCAGAAGACAUAAAGGGGUAAUGUAACAUUCAGUCGUGAGCAAGGAGGAAACAUCGUUAGAUGAAAUGAAGGUGAGCUAAAGAGAAAGUUAAAGUUAGCUUUUAUAGCAAGGGGUAAUGAAUGUAAGAUUAGGUUGGGCUUGGGCCAAAACUUUUUUUUUUU